rnacentral:rRNA from 1 species
AGUUUGAUCAUGGCUCAGGACGAACGCUGGCGGCGUGCCUAAUACAUGCAAGUAGAACGCUGAAGUCUGGUGCUUGCACUAGACGGAUGAGUUGCGAACGGGUGAGUAACGCGUAGGUAACCUGCCUCAUAGCGGGGGAUAACUAUUGGAAACGAUAGCUAAUACCGCAUAACAGUAUUUACUGCAUGGUAGAUACUUGAAAGGAGCAAUUGCUUCACUAUGAGAUGGACCUGCGUUGUAUUAGCUAGUUGGUGAGGUAACGGCUCACCAAGGCAUCGAUACAUAGCCGACCUGAGAGGGUGAUCGGCCACACUGGGACUGAGACACGGCCCAGACUCCUACGGGAGGCAGCAGUAGGGAAUCUUCGGCAAUGGGGGCAACCCUGACCGAGCAACGCCGCGUGAGUGAAGAAGGUUUUCGGAUCGUAAAGCUCUGUUGUAAGAGAAGAACUGUGAGAAGAGUGGAAAGUUUCUCACUUGACGGUAUCUUACCAGAAAGGGACGGCUAACUACGUGCCAGCAGCCGCGGUAAUACGUAGGUCCCGAGCGUUGUCCGGAUUUAUUGGGCGUAAAGCGAGCGCAGGCGGUUUGAUAAGUCUGAAGUAAAAGGCUGUGGCUUAACCAUAGUACGCUUUGGAAACUGUCAAACUUGAGUGCAGAAGGGGAGAGUGGAAUUCCAUGUGUAGCGGUGAAAUGCGUAGAUAUAUGGAGGAACACCGGUGGCGAAAGCGGCUCUCUGGUCUGUAACUGACGCUGAGGCUCGAAAGCGUGGGGAGCGAACAGGAUUAGAUACCCUGGUAGUCCACGCCGUAAACGAUGAGUGCUAGGUGUUGGGUCCUUUCCGGGACUCAGUGCCGCAGCUAACGCAUUAAGCACUCCGCCUGGGGAGUACGACCGCAAGGUUGAAACUCAAAGGAAUUGACGGGGGCCCGCACAAGCGGUGGAGCAUGUGGUUUAAUUCGAAGCAACGCGAAGAACCUUACCAGGUCUUGACAUCCCAGUGACCGUCCUAGAGAUAGGAUUUUUCUUCGGAACACUGGUGACAGGUGGUGCAUGGUUGUCGUCAGCUCGUGUCGUGAGAUGUUGGGUUAAGUCCCGCAACGAGCGCAACCCCUAUUGUUAGUUGCCAUCAUUCAGUUGGGCACUCUAGCGAGACUGCCGGUAAUAAACCGGAGGAAGGUGGGGAUGACGUCAAAUCAUCAUGCCCCUUAUGACCUGGGCUACACACGUGCUACAAUGGCUGGUACAACGAGUCGCAAGUCGGUGACGGCAAGCUAAUCUCUUAAAGCCAGUCUCAGUUCGGAUUGUAGGCUGCAACUCGCCUACAUGAAGUCGGAAUCGCUAGUAAUCGCGGAUCAGCACGCCGCGGUGAAUACGUUCCCGGGCCUUGUACACACCGCCCGUCACACCACGAGAGUUUGUAACACCCGAAGUCGGUGAG